rnacentral:rRNA from 1 species
CAGCCGCCACGGUAAUACGUAGGUGGCAAGCGUUGUCCGGAAUUAUUGGGCGUAAAGGGCUCGCAGGCGGCUAGUCGCGUCGGCUGUGAAAACCUGGGGCUCAACCCCGGGCCUGCAGCCGAUACGGGCUAGCUAGAAUUCGGUAGGGGAGACUGGAAUUCCUGGUGUAGCGGUGAAAUGCGCAGAUAUCAGGAGGAACACCGGUGGCGAAGGCGGGUCUCUGGGCCGAUAUUGACGCUGAGGAGCGAAAGCGUGGGGAGCGAACAGGAUUAGAUACCCCCGUAGUCCCUGUCUCUUAUAC